rnacentral:lncRNA from 1 species
UCUAUAUCAACCGACCUAACUCCCUAUUGCAGAUGUCCUUCAAGAUAGAGCAACAACCAGAGACGCGAAGGUGAGUGGAAUUUGCUCUCCCAUUACUCCGGUCUUCUUCACAUGCUUGACAUUUAAUUUCUUUGCUGCGCUUCUUGGUUUUCCUCAAUUUCAUCAAUGCAAAACGGAUGCAUAUGAUCAAAUGAAUUCUCUUCUUAUGCUAGAGAUCCUCCAUAUCUUGGGCUAUAGCUAGAAAUAUGCAGACAACCUCAGUAGUAUCACGCUUGGCAAUUUUGCUACCGUUAAUUAUCAUACAUAGCUUCUCCUGUAGCUGCGUUUUUGGUGUUACCGUAGAGUGUUUUAUGUAUUGUCCAUGUCACUGAUUCAAGCAACUUUCUGACCUGCAGGAAUCCUCAUUUAUCAAACAGGACUGAGGCAGCUGGAAGAGGGGAAGUUUAGUAUGAGAGAGAGAGAGAAAGGAUGGGGUGGGUGGAGCUGUUGCUGCUGCUGCUGACAUUGAGUUCAAUGGGUUUAACAAUUGUAGAAAGCGCAUCGACAAAGGAACCUCUNNN